rnacentral:rRNA from 1 species
UAGGGAAUAUUGGUAAUGGGCGAAAGCCUGAACCAGCAACGCCGCGUGUGCGAAGAAGGCCUUCGGGUUGUAAAGCACUUUUUAAGGGGAUGAGGAAGGACAGUACCCUUAGAAUAAGCCUCGGCUAACUACGUGCCAGCAGCCGCGGUAACACGUAGGAGGCAAGCGUUAUUCGGAUUUACUGGGCGUAAAGCGCGUGCAGGCGGUUUGGUAAGUUGGAUGUGAAAGCUCCCGGCCUAACUGGGAGAGGUCGUUCAAUACUACCAGACUAGAGGAUGGGAGAGGGAGGUGGAAUUCCGGGUGUAGUGGUGAAAUGCGUAGAUAUCCGGAGGAACACCAGUGGCGAAAGCGGCCUCCUGGCCCAUUUCUGACGCUCAGACGCGAAAGCUAGGGUAGCAAA